ensembl:snoRNA SNORA66 Small nucleolar RNA SNORA66
AUACAAAAUUUUAACUCUGCAUGAUGUGGCAGAAGCUAAAGGAACCACGUUUGCCAAAGUAACUGUGGUGGCUACUGAGGUGUAUCCCAGACAGUA